rnacentral:rRNA from 1 species
UACGUAGGGUGCGAGCGUUGUCCGGAAUUAUUGGGCGUAAAGAGCUCGUAGGCGGUUUGUCGCGUCUGCCGUGAAAGUCCGGGGCUCAACUCCGGAUCUGCGGUGGUACGGGCAGACUAGAGUGAUGUAGGGAGACUGGAAUUCCUGGUGUAGCGGUGAAAUGCGCAGAUAUCAGGAGGAACACCGAUGGCGAAGGCAGGUCUCUGGGCAUUAACUGACGCUGAGGAGCGAAAGCAUGGGAGCGAACAGG